rnacentral:tRNA from 1 species
UAAUCAAUGAACUUGUAAAAGUAUAUGACUUGAAAUCAUAAAAAAGAGGUUCAACCCUCUAUUGAUU